UGUUUGCAUUGCUCGGGUUUACCCCUUGAUCUCCUACACAUUUUUCAGCCAUUCACAGUUUCGACGUCCACUGCUUCUCAUCAGUUAGCUGUGGAACUGCGUCAGUUGUUUGCAUUGCUCGAGUGUUCCCUCUGAUCUCCUACACAUUUUUCAGCCAUUCCCAGGUUCGGCGUCCACUGCCUAUAGCCGGUUAGCUGUGGAACUGCAUCAGCUCUCCAACAAAGCCAGUGAGUGGGUGAAAGGAUCAAGCCAGCUGGAGACCUUUUUUUUUCCAGAAGAGGGGGAUGUCGUCAAUGUUUUGCACUUUUACAAUAAACGUUUAUGA